GUCCUGGUGGUGGAAUGGUAGACACGUACGUUUCAGGUGCGUAUGGAGAAAUCCGUGUGGGUUCAAGUCCCAUUCAGGACA
rnacentral:tRNA from 3 species